UGAUAGCUAAAAGCAGAUUUAUUAUUAUAGCUCAGUCUCAAAAAAAUAAAAAUUAAAAAAAUUAUCCAGUGGUUAUGAGGAGUCUAGGAAAACCUGGCCUAGCAGGGCCAGUUUAGAAGUGAAGGGCUGGCUGGGGCAGCUGAGGAGCGGGGCUCUCUGCCUGGCAGGCUGCUUCUCCCUGGGCUGGUUUUCAGCUCAUCGUAGGGAAAGGCAUUUUCCAGGUAACUGUCGUAGGCGUGGUAGAACAUGGCCUUGACUCGCUCCCUGUAGUGGGCGGGGUCGGGCGCGGUGCCUUCGGGGCCUGGCGCACCAUGGUGCAGGGGCAGCAGCACGCACACGAGGCCGAGCGGGAUAAGCAGCCGGAAAGGCAUAGAGCUCGUGUCCUGUCAGUGCCGCCGCAGCAGCUGCAGCCACGGCCACCCGCUCAUUCUCCGAGCCGCGGCUGGU
rnacentral:lncRNA from 1 species